CUCUGCUUGAAAAACACAACUGAGAUAUACCUGAGCAUUGAAAUUUACCAUGAAUCGCUGGGCAUUUCAUCUCCUUCUCCUUGUUGUAGUAGCAGGAGUUAUUGGUACAACAGAUGGAACAGAAGCCCGACCUCCAGCAUGUGGAGAUAGAGGGUAUUGCUUUCCCGGCCGUGUGUGCCCUUCACCUCGAGUUAAAAUUAAUGGAAAAUGUUCAACUGGCUAUAUAUGUUGUGGUGAACGUAAAAGAAAUGCUUCAAUGGAGUGAGAAAAUGUUGACUGAAAAACGGGUUGAAACAGCUUGGCUACAAUUUUCUAUGAUAAAAAUGGUUAAAAUGUUUGCUGCUAAGAGACAUAGUUUUCAUUCUUGCUUAAGAAAAGCUGCUGAGAUACAAACCAAGGUUUUCUUCUUGUUGUAUAAAACCUUCCUCACUGAAGGCAAAAUGCACAAUGCAAAAUCAAAUUUAGUUCCCAUUUAUGUGUUUAUGAUUUGGAAUAAAUAACCAACAUCCACAUACUGUUAACAAGUCACAUUCUGACAUCCAAAUGUGGAGAUGUUUUCUAACUAUUGCUUAUAUAAGCCUUGCCAAUAAAAAUGUUCAUUUAGCAUACCA